UUGUGCAGUUAGGAAAACUAGAUGGCGCUGCCGUUCCUCUGGAUUGACUAUGCUAGUUACGUGGAAGCAUAAAGUUCAUGGAUGGUGCAAGUUAAAUCGGUGUUAGCAGUGUUUCUUAAGUUUGCUGUGUUUUAAAGAAUUGUUCGUCUUAAAAUCAACGCCAACAGACUUUCGUUUGUUAUCAGCUAAUCAAACUGCAGACCCUGAGAAUAGUGAGCUAUCCAUGUCUCUGUUUUCGAGCAUGCCAUACCUCACAGAAAAACUUCCCAUUUCAUUUUAGCCUACCAUCAAAUGGAAUAGCAUGAUUAUUUAUACAAUGAUCAUUUCCAUGAAGCCAAAUGCCUGUGGGUUCUGACGCUGAAGAUCUACAACGACCAAAAUUCCUUAGAAUGUCUUCAUGUUUUCAUCUACUAUGUUUUGCUGUCUGUCAACCAACAUCAACCCAUUCAGCCAGUAUUCUCGGCUUGUCAACUUAGCCAACAAUCAACCAUCAUCAGUAUUGAAUGCAUCUUCUCCUAACACCUUCACUACUCAAACAACUAUCUUCCGUAGACUUCAACACCCAAUCAAGAUCUUUUAAAAAAUUUGUCAUCGGAUCCCAUUUCGACCAGUGCAGCAGUCUUCGUGAUCGUAACCGGCCAACAUGCAUAGACUUAAAUGCCAUCGCCUCAUUGUGAGCUGCCAAUUGUUCAUCAUCGUUUCCAACCAAAAAUCGCCGUUCUAAUACAAAUCAUCCAGUCAUGCGUCGCUACAGAAUUUACCACGUGACGUCUUCUUUGACUGAUACAUGGCAGCGUGGGAAGAUUCUUGGACUAAAAAAAACUUGUGGCGGGGGCGUACAGAGCAACGUGGAUCGUCACACUUUUUCUGUGGUAUUGUUUGUUUUGUUUUGUUGUUGCUAGUUAACCCGUUGGCUGCCACCCAUUUGCUCCCCUUUUUUUUUGUAGCUGUAGGGACCGGGCGCGCUGCUCUGCCCUAUGGGGUGGAGCAGUUGCAAUGCCCUUGCCCGCCGCAAGGCGGUUAGGCAAUGCACCAUUAGGGACUUCUCUUUGUUCGAUGCAGUGAUGGUUACCUGAGGGUGUGCAUUCCCUGUAAAGGUUUCCAUCACUGUGUCAGCCCGGACUUGUCUUCGGACAAGUUCCAUCAAUCGUGGAUCCUUCAGACAACGAUGCGUAGUGAGUAGAAAAAACAACCUAAGGGUUGUAUGGCGUGGCAGCCAACGGGUUAACUAAUUGUAUAUGUGUAUGUAUGUUUGUAGUUAUGUAUGUAUGUAUGUAUAGUUGAAACAUGUAAUGUAUAAAAGUGGUGGAAUUGAGGGUGGAAGGCGGGACAAUACAAAAUCAUUUCUUUUUAUAA
rnacentral:lncRNA from 1 species